AUGACUUUUAAAAAUACCGGAAAAACACUCAUGGAGCCGGAGGUGGCAAUUCACCAAAUUUGCAUCACUUUAAGGAGCUGCAGUGUAAAAUCCCAGGAGAUGGUAUGUGCUGACUUGAUCAGAGGAGCAAAGGAAAAGAAUAUCAAAGGGAAAGGACCAGUUUGAAUACCUACCAAGAUUCUGAGAAUCACUACAAGAAAAACUCCUUGUGGUGAAGGUUCUAAGACAUGAGGUCGUUUCCAGAUGAGAAUCCACAAGUGACUCUUUGACUUGCACAGUCCUUCUGAGAUUGUUAAGCAGAUUACUUCCAUCAGUACUGAGCUAGGAGUUGAAGUGGAAGUCACCGUUGCAGAUGCUUAA
rnacentral:lncRNA from 1 species